rnacentral:lncRNA from 1 species
GUGAAUUUGUAGAGGAAGUUCUUACGGUCCAAACUGAGAAAACGAGAAUAAAGGAAUAAUUAGCCUUAUUAUGUUCAAAUUUUUACAUGGAGAAUGAAUUUGCAUAAUACCUAAACACUUAAAUAACAAUAUGCCCCUGACAGGUUUCCUGGUUGUCUGCCACAACUCCUAGGAUUUCUGACUUUAGACAAGUUUUUGUUCAUCAGCUUAUGAAAAUAAAAAGCCUAACCACAGAGAAGACCCACCUAGAUGCCAGCCAUGCCUUUCUCUUUUCCAGUGCCAUAGAAAAGCAGGCGGAGGUGUGUUUAUCUACGCACCCCAAGUGCGGUUCUAAACACGCCCCUCUGGAGCUGCGCAUACAGCCUGGUCUGAGGCCUGGGGCAGGAUACGUGGCGCGGCCACUGGUCUUCCUCCACCUGCCCACACUGCUCCGGGAAGGGUGCCUUCCAUCUUUCCAUCACCGGAGCAUCAACCCCAUCAGACUGGAGGACGCAGGACACUAGCCCAGCACUUCGCCCUGAACAGGAGCUCGGGAUGAACUCAUUUUAUCGGUAAAUCCCCAGUGAAUUGAAGUGGACGCUGAAAACUGUAACACGUGACUUGAAAGAAUACAAGAAGAAUGUGGAGCGGGGCGGGGCAAUAGUCAUGUCUGAUUGAUGCUGUGGAAGUGAGAGAUGUGAACAUGAGGAGAAUUUUAGGAUCAGCUACUGAACCACUCCUCCCAUUUGGGCCCGUCAUUUCCCCUCCUCGUUUUCUCACUCAUUCAUUCAUUCGUCCAAAAAAUAUCUAUUAAAUGCCAACUAUAGACAGGGCUAGCCAUCAUUACUACUCGAUGAUGAUUACUACUAGGUGAUGAUUCUCUGUCAUCUAAUGAUACUAUGCAACACAAGGUCACUGUACUUCAUCAUGAUUUCCUCACAAAGCUGGGCCUCAAGUUUAACCUCAAG